rnacentral:rRNA from 1 species
UACAGAGGUCCCAAGCGUUGUUCGGAUUUACUGGGCGUAAAGGGUGCGUAGGCGGUCGGGUAAGUCUGGUGUGAAAUCCUCGAGCUUAACUCGGAAACUGCAUUGGAUACUAUUCGGCUGGAGAGUUGGAGGGGGGACUGGAAUACUUGGUGUAGCAGUGAAAUGCGUAGAUAUCAAGUGGAACACCAGUGGCGAAGGCGAGUCCCUGGACAACUUCUGACGCUGAGGCACGAAAGCUAGGGGAGCAAACAGG